GAUGAACGCUAGCGGCAGGCCUAAUACAUGCAAGUCGAGGGGCAGCGCGGUAGCAAUACUGGCGGCGACCGGCGCACGGGUGCGUAACACGUAUGCAACCUACCUUCAACUGGAGGAUAGCCCGGGAACUCGGAUUAAUACUCCAUAACACAGGGAUCCCGCAUGGGAAUAUUGUUAAAGCUACGGCGGUUGAAGAUGGGCAUGCGUUCGAUUAGCUAGUUGGUGUAGGUAACGGCUCACCAAGGCUACGAUCGAUAGGGGGUCUGAGAGGAUGAUCCCCCACACUGGUACUGAGAUACGGACCAGACUCCUACGGGAGCAGCAGUA
rnacentral:rRNA from 1 species